rnacentral:rRNA from 1 species
CAGUAGCCGCGUGAAUACGUAGGGUGCGAGCGUUAAUCGGAAUUACUGGGCGUAAAGCGUGCGCAGGCGGUUUUGUAAGACAGAGGUGAAAUCCCCGGGCUCAACCUGGGAACUGCCUUUGUGACUGCAAGGCUAGAGUACGGCAGAGGGGGAUGGAAUUCCGCGUGUAGCAGUGAAAUGCGUAGAUAUGCGGAGGAACACCGAUGGCGAAGGCAAUCCCCUGGGCCUGUACUGACGCUCAUGCACGAAAGCGUGGGGAGCAAACAGGAUUAGAUACCCCUGUAGUCCCUGUCUCUUAUAC